rnacentral:rRNA from 1 species
AGGAUAAACGCUGGCGGCGUGCCUAACACAUGCAAGUCGAACGUCCUUGCGGUCUUCUUCUUCGGAGGAGGACCGAGAGGGAGUGGCGCACGGGUGCGUAACGCGUAUGCAACCUACCUCAAUCAGGGGGAUAGCCUCUCGAAAGAGAGAUUAACACCGCAUAAAAUCACAAGCUGGCAUCAGCAAAUGAUCAAAUAUUUAUAGGAUUGAGAUGGGCAUGCGUGUCAUUAGUUAGUUGGUGAGGUAACGGCUCACCAAGACCACGAUGACUA